UGGGGAAUAUUGCACAAUGGGGGAAACCCUGAUGCAGCGACGCCGCGUGGAGGAAGAAGGUCUUCGGAUUGUAAACUCCUGUUGUUGGGGAAGAUAAUGACGGUACCCAACAAGGAAGUGACGGCUAACUACGUGCCAGCAGCCGCGGUAAAACGUAGGUCACAAGCGUUGUCCGGAAUUACUGGGUGUAAAGGGAGCGCAGGCGGGAAGACAAGUUGGAAGUGAAAUCUAUGGGCUCAACCCAUAAACUGCUUUCAAAACUGUUUUUCUUGAGUAGUGCAGAGGUAGGCGGAAUUCCCGGUGUAGCGGUGGAAUGCGUAGAUAUCGGGAGGAACACCAGUGGCGAAGGCGGCCUACUGGGCACCAACUGACGCUGAGGCUCGAAAGUGUGGGUAGCAAACAGGAUUAGAUACCCUGGUAGUCCACACCGUAAACGAUGAUUACUAGGUGUUGGAGGAUUGACCCCUUCAGUGCCGCAGUUAACACAAUAAGUAAUCCACCUGGGGAGUACGACCGCAAGGUUGAAACUCAAAGGAAUUGACGGGGGCCCGCACAAGCAGUGGAGUAUGUGGUUUAAUUCGACGCAACGCGAAGAACCUUACCAAGUCUUGACAUCCGUUGACCGCUGUAGAAAUACAGUUUUCCUUCGGGACAGCGAGACAGGUGGUGCAUGGUUGUCGUCAGCUCGUGUCGUGAGAUGUUGGGUUAAGUCCCGCAACGAGCGCAACCCUUAUGGUCAGUUACUACGCAAGAGGACUCUGGCCAGACUGCCGUUGACAAAACGGAGGAAGGUGGGGAUGACGUCAAAUCAUCAUGCCCUUUAUGACUUGGGCUACACACGUACUACAAUGGCGUUAAACAAAGAGAAGCAAGACCGCGAGGUGGAGCAAAACUCAGAAACAACGUCCCAGUUCGGACUGCAGGCUGCAACUCGCCUGCACGAAGUCGGAAUUGCUAGUAAUCGUGGAUCAGCAUGCCACGGUGAAUACGUUCCC
rnacentral:rRNA from 1 species